rnacentral:pre_miRNA from 1 species
GGGCCAUUGAGAAGGAUCUCCGGGCAGCAGCCUCUUUGCUCAGGCUUCACUGCCAUGACUGUUUUGCUUUGGUUAGUUUCCAUCACUUUGAAACUAACCAGAGCAAAACAGUCGUGGAAGUGAAGCCUGAGCUAAGAGGCCGCUACCCGGGGAUCCAAAACUGCAAGU